UCCACGCCCUAAACGAUGUCAACUAGUUGUUGGGCUUUUCGGAGCUUAGUAACGCAGCUAACGCGUGAAGUUGACCGCCUGGGGAGUACGGUCGCAAGACUAAAACUCAAAGGAAUUGACGGGGGCCCGCACAAGCGGUGGAUGAUGUGGAUUAAUUCGAUGCAACGCGAAAAACCUUACCUGGUCUUGACAUGUACGGAAUCCUUUAGAGAUAGAGGAG
rnacentral:rRNA from 1 species